AGAGUUUGAUCAUGGCUCAGAACGAACGCUGGCGGCAGGCCUCAAACAUGCAAGUCUAGGGGGUGUAGCAAUACAUCACCGGCGGACGGGUGCGUAACACGUGGGAAUAUACCUUUUGGUUCGGAACAACGCAGGGAAACUUGCGCUAAUACCGAAUGUGCCCUUACGGGGAAAGAUUUAUCGCCAAAGGAUUAGCCCGCGUCCGAUUAGCUAGUUGGUGAGGUAAUGGCUCACCAAGGCUCCGAUCGGUAGCUGUUCUGAGAGGAAGAUCAGCCACACUGGGACUGAGACACGGCCCAGACUCCUACGGGAGGCAGCAGUUGGGAAUCUUGGACAAUGGGGGAAACCCUGAUCCAGCCAUGCCGCGUGAGUGAUGAAGGCCUUCGGGUUGUAAAACUCUUUCGACGGGGACGAUAAUGACUGUACCGGGAGAAUAAGCUCCGGCUAACUUCGUGCCAGCAGCCGCGGUAAUACGAAGGGGGCUAGCGUUGUUCGGAAUUACUGGGCGUAAAGCGCGCGCAGGCGGUUUCUCAAGUCAGUGGUGAAAGCCCGGAGCUCAACUCCGGAACUGCCAUUGAAACUGUGAAACUUGAGGACGAGAGAGGUGAGUGGAAUUCCCAGUGUAGAGGUGAAAUUCGUAGAUAUUGGGGAAGAACACCGGUGGCGAAGGCGGCUCACUGGCUCGUUUCUGNNNCUCANNNGCGACAGCGUGGGGAUCAAACAGGAUUAGAUACCCUAGUAGUCC
rnacentral:rRNA from 1 species